rnacentral:rRNA from 1 species
CCUACGGGAGGCAGCAGUGGGGAAUUUUGGACAAUGGGCGAAAGCCUGAUCCAGCAAUGCCGCGUGAGUGAAGAAGGCCUUCGGGUUGUAAAGCUCUUUUGUCAGGGAAGAAACGGUGAGAGCUAAUAUCUCUUGCUAAUGACGGUACCUGAAGAAUAAGCACCGGCUAACUACGUGCCAGCAGCCGCGGUAAUACGUAGGGUGCAAGCGUUAAUCGGAAUUACUGGGCGUAAAGCGUGCGCAGGCGGUUUUGUAAGUCUGAUGUGAAAUCCCCGGGCUCAACCUGGGAAUUGCAUUGGAGACUGCAAGGCUAGAAUCUGGCAGAGGGGGGUAGAAUUCCACGUGUAGCAGUGAAAUGCGUAGAUAUGUGGAGGAACACCGAUGGCGAAGGCAGCCCCCUGGGUCAAGAUUGACGCUCAUGCACGAAAGCGUGGGGAGCAAACAGGAUUAGAUACCCUGGUAGUCCACGCCCUAAACGAUGUCUACUAGUUGUCGGGUCUUAAUUGACUUGGUAACGCAGCUAACGCGUGAAGUAGACCGCCUGGGGAGUACGGUCGCAAGAUUAAAACUACAAAUAAGAAGUAGUAGAGAGAGAGAGACGACGGACGACGACGACGGAGGAGGAG